rnacentral:rRNA from 1 species
GAUGAACGCUGGCGGCGUGCCUAACACAUGCAAGUCGAGCGGACAGGCGCGGCUUUUGCUGGGCUCUCGAUUGGCGCGCGGGGGUGAAACACACGAGUAUACCCCACCUAUCUGAGUGAUAUCUUCAGGAGACUGCGGCUAAUACCCGGGAUAAGCUACUGAAGCAUGUGGGUGGUUAGAAAGAGACGGCGGUUGGGGAUGGACUCGCGGCUUAUGAGCUUGUUGGUGGGGUAGUGGCGUACAAAGGCUUUGACGGGUAGCCGGCCUGAGAGGGUUACCGGCCACAUUGGGACUGAGAUACGGCCCAGACUCCUACGGGAGGCAGCAGUGGGGAAUAUUACACAAUGGGCGGAAGCCUGAUGCAGCAACGCCGCGUGCGGGAUGACGGCCUUCGGGUUGUAAACCGCUUUCGCCUGUGACGAAGCGUGAGUGACGGUAAUGGGUAAAGAAGCACCGGCUAACUACGUG